CCUACGGGUGGCUGCAGUGGGGAAUAUUGGACAAUGGGCGAAAGCCUGAUCCAGCCAUGCCGCGUGUGUGAAGAAGGCCUUCGGGUUGUAAAGCACUUUCAGUGGGGAAGAAAGCCUUGGGGCUAAUACCCUCGAGGAAGGACAUCACCCACAGAAGAAGCACCGGCUAACUCCGUGCCAGCAGCCGCGGUAAUACGGAGGGUGCGAGCGUUAAUCGCAAUUACUGGGCGUAAAGCGCGCGUAGGCGGUCUGAUAAGCCGGUUGUGAAAGCCCCGGGCUCAACCUGGGAACGGCAUCCGGAACUGUCAGGCUAGAGUGCAGGAGAGGAAGGUAGAAUUCCCGGUGUAGCGGUGAAAUGCGUAGAGAUCGGGAGGAAUACCAGUGGCGAAGGCGGCCUUCUGGACUGACACUGACGCUGAGGUGCGAAAGCGUGGGUAGCAAACAGGAUUAGAUACCCCUGUAGUC
rnacentral:rRNA from 1 species